rnacentral:tRNA from 1 species
GGCAGUGUGGCUUACUGGAAAGAGCACGGAUUUGGGAGUCAGAGGUCAUGGGUUUUAAUCCCGGCUCUGCCA